rnacentral:rRNA from 1 species
CAAGUCGAACGAAACUUCUUUAUCACCGAGUGCUUGCACUCACCGAUAAAGAGUUGAGUGGCGAACGGGUGAGUAACACGUGGGCAACCUGCCCAAAAGAGGGGGAUAACACUUGGAAACAGGUGCUAAUACCGCAUAACCAUAGUUACCGCAUGGUAACUAUGUAAAAGGUGGCUAUGCUACCGCUUUUGGAUGGGCCCGCGGCGCAUUAGCUAGUUGGUGAGGUAAAGGCUUACCAAGGCAAUGAUGCGUAGCCGAACUGAGAGGUUGAUCGGCCACAUUGGGACUGAGACACGGCCCAAACUCCUACGGGAGGCAGCAGUAGGGAAUCUUCCACAAUGGGCGAAAGCCUGAUGGAGCAACGCCGCGUGGGUGAAGAAGGUCUUCGGAUCGUAAAACCCUGUUGUUAGAGAAGAAAGUGCGUGAGAGUAACUGUUCACGUUUCGACGGUAUCUAACCAGAAAGCCACGGCUAACUACGUGCCAGCAGCCGCGGUAAUACGUAGGUGGCAAGCGUUAUCCGGAUUUAUUGGGCGUAAAGGGAACGCAGGCGGUCUUUUAAGUCUGAUGUGAAAGCCUUCGGCUUAACCGGAGUAGUGCAUUGGAAACUGGGAGACUUGAGUGCAGAAGAGGAGAGUGGAACUCCAUGUGUAGCGGUGAAAUGCGUAGAUAUAUGGAAGAACACCAGUGGCGAAAGCGGCUCUCUGGUCUGUAACUGACGCUGAGGUUCGAAAGCGUGGGUAGCAAACAGGAUUAGAUACCCUGGUAGUCCACGCCGUAAACGAUGAAUGCUAAGUGUUGGAGGGUUUCCGCCCUUCAGUGCUGCAGCUAACGCAAUAAGCAUUCCGCCUGGGGAGUACGACCGCAAGGUUGAAACUCAAAGGAAUUGACGGGGGCCCGCACAAGCGGUGGAGCAUGUGGUUUAAUUCGAAGCAACGCGAAGAACCUUACCAGGUCUUGACAUCUUCUGACAAUCCUAGAGAUAGGACUUUCCCUUCGGGGACAGAAUGACAGGUGGUGCAUGGUUGUCGUCAGCUCGUGUCGUGAGAUGUUGGGUUAAGUCCCGCAACGAGCGCAACCCUUAUUGUUAGUUGCCAGCAUUAAGUUGGGCACUCUAGCAAGACUGCCGGUGACAAACCGGAGGAAGGUGGGGAUGACGUCAAAUCAUCAUGCCCCUUAUGACCUGGGCUACACACGUGCUACAAUGGACGGUACAACGAGUCGCAAGACCGCGAGGUUUAGCAAAUCUCUUAAAGCCGUUCUCAGUUCGGAUUGUAGGCUGCAACUCGCCUACAUGAAGUCGGAAUCGCUAGUAAUCGCGGAUCAGCAUGCCGCGGUGAAUACGUUCCCGGGCCUUGUACACACCGCCCGUCACACCAUGAGAGUUUGUAACACCCAAAGCCGGUGGGGUAACCUUUUGGAGCCAGC